rnacentral:rRNA from 1 species
CCCUUAGAUGUUCUGGGCUGCACGCGCGCUACACUGAAGCGUUCAACGAGUAUUCACCUUGCCCGGGAGGGUUGGGUAAUCUUUUGAAAACGCUUCGUGAUGGGGAUAGAUUAUUGCAAUUAUUAAUCUUCAACGAGGAAUUCCUAGUAAGCGCGAGUCAUCAGCUCGUGCUGAUUACGUCCCUGCCCUUUGUACACACCGCCCGUCGCUCUUACCGAUUGAGUGCUCAGGUGAAUAAUUCGGACUGCAGCAAUGUUUGGAUCCCGAACGUUGCAGCGGAAAGUUUAGUGAACCUUAUCACUUAGAGGAAGGAGAAGUCGUAACA